UCUCUCUUUGCAGCCUGGCAGCACUCUGACUGAAGUGUAUCUGAGGCCCUGGAGAUCUGGGUGCUUAGAAAUGACAUAUGCAACAUUCUGCUGGUUGCAGAACAACUCUAAACAAGCAGUGGUGACAAGAUCCCCAAGGGUUUCUCCCCAUUGUCUGUUCCCAAGGUACCUCGCAACUGGGAGCACACUGUGGGCACCAUUUCCCAGCAGCUGCAUCACCAGUGGCUUGGAAACAGGUCAGCGCCAAGCUGCAAAGGGCUGGCAUUGAACAGACUUGAAAAAGAUGGGGAACCCAGAAGCCACAAGCAAUGCUGAUUCAGCAGCUCAGCUCAAGAAAAUGGAAUCCCCACCAGGAUGCGAUGGAUACAGUAACUUCGUCUACACCACAUGUUAACAUGGAAAACAUUGCAUUUUAAAACGAUUUGGUUUGGUGGAAGUUUCACAAAGGACUUCCUAAUUAAAGCACAUCACGCAGCGGUUA